CCGUCGCCAGCAAUUUGACCUUCAUUUGACCGCAAGUGCGCCGUUGCCUUGGCAACGCAUCACGUGACUCGCCGCGCCGAGCUCCGCCGCCUGCUUGGCGCAUGCGCUCUCCGCUGCUGGGUCGCCGCCUGACCACGUGACUCGCCGCGCUCGCCUAUUCAGUACGAGCUUGGCGAUGGAUAAGAGGUAGGCCGGGCCGUCUUCUCUGAGCAUUGCACGGUAGCGGGAGGCUUUGAGCCGUCUUCGCCAAGUGGCGUCUGACCACCCCACGGGCAUCGCCCGGCGAGCUGCUUCACUGAAGCGGGUCCGGAAUGCAACAGACGUCGCACCGUCGAGACCAAUGUAGUGACCGCGUUCGCGCCUUGUCCUUUUGUGCUUCGACGCUGCGCACGUUCGCGACGUCUCUUUGCAUGUCUAGCACAUGUGCUUUCCCUGUGGUACUACAAAUGUCGAACGAUGCGUGUCUAUUUAAACUUUCUUCACGUCGGUGUCUUCUGAGAAUCGUUCUGGACAAGCGACGCGUCGAUCUGCAAGCCACUCCAACGCCGCUUCGUAGAAGCAAAGACGCUGGAGUCUCGACAUGCAGUAAUGAGGACGGCACCAGUAUAAAGCAACACACUCCACGCACUAAAUAGAAGCUGCUGCCUGCUUCAACAAGGUCCUUGUGCGGUGGCUGCUACUACAAGAGUCUGUGCCGAGCACAUGUUGGUCAUCACGGGAGCCCCCGUCUUCACCGACAGGAAGGGGCUGGAGCCAAAUUUCCAAGGCUGUUACACCACGAACAAAGAAGCUGAUGCAGAAUUUGUAUGAGAUAUGAAAUCUGCAGAGGAGUGUCAAGACUGAAAAUAGCUUCAGCCAUCAUUCUACCAGCACGGAUAUUGGCCUAGUCAACGAGGUACCUCAACAACAAAAAUUUUGUGUCUUCAGAUGUACCUGCAACCGCUGAACAAGCACAGACGACGCUGGCCGAAAGUGUUCUGUCAGCUUGCCCUUCCUUAAUGA